AUGUUAUCAAGAAAGGUGGAGGGAAUAGACCCUUUGAAACCUUAGCAACCCUUUGUGCAAACAAAGAAGGUGCUACAUUCUACUGCUUCGGCAGAGAGAUAACGA
rnacentral:ncRNA from 1 species